GAUGAACGCUGGCGGCGUGCCUAAUACAUGUAAGUCGAGCGAACGGACGAGAAGCUUGCUUCUCUGAUGUUAGCGGCGGACGGGUGAGUAACACGUGGAUAACCUACCUAUAAGACUGGGAUAACUUCGGGAAACCGUAGCUAAUACCGGAUAAUAUUUUGAACCGCAUGGUUCAAAAGUGAAAGACGGUCUUGCUGUCACUUAUAGAUGGAUCCGCGCUGCAUUAGCUAGUUGGUAAGGUAACGGCUUACCAAGGCAACGAUGCAUAGCCGACCUGAGAGGGUGAUCGGCCACACUGGAACUGAGACACGGUCCAGACUCCUACGGGAGGCAGCAGUAGGGAAUCUUCCGCAAUGGGCGAAAGCCUGACGGAGCAACGCCGCGUGAGUGAUGAAGGUCUUCGGAUCGUAAAACUCUGUUAUUAGGGAAGAACAUAUGUGUAAGUAACUGUGCACAUCUUGACGGUACCUAAUCAGAAAGCCACGGCUAACUACGUG
rnacentral:rRNA from 1 species